rnacentral:rRNA from 1 species
GUGCCAGCAGCCGCGGUAAUACAGAGGGUGCGAGCGUUAAUCGGAAUUACUGGGCGUAAAGCGUGCGUAGACGGUUAUUUAAGUCGGGUGUGAAAGCCCCGGGCUCAACCUGGGAAUUGCAUUCGAGACUGAAUAGCUAGGGUACGGUAGAGGGAAGCGGAAUUUCCGGUGUAGCGGUGAAAUGCGUAGAUAUCGGAAGGAACAUCAGUGGCGAAAGCGGCUUCCUGGACCAGUACCGACGUUCAGGCACGAAAGCGUGGGGAGCAAACAGGAUUAGAUACCCUGGUAGUCC